CGACCUGGCUGCAUGCUUGGCAGGUGGAGAGGACCCCUGUCGAAAAUUAGAGCAAAUAGCAGAUAUCUAUGAAUGAGUUCACUGCACUGAGAGAAAUCCCAGAAGUGUCCAGGUUGUGUUUAACCUCUCUUCAGAACAAGCUCAGCAACCUGCCGCAGAGAGUCUCUUUGGUUUGAGCCAAGUCUUGUUUUGCUGCUCACCUCCUGCCACUGAAGAGAGUCGUGGCUGCUCACCAUCUAAGAAGAAGCAGGGCGUCUUUCCCAUGGUUCUCUUAAGCGUCACUGGCAGCUGAUCAGCAGAUUGGACCGGUCCCUGAGGGUUGAAUUUGGAAUCUUUUUAUUGAACUUUUCCAACAUAUGUAUUUGCUCGUUACGACACAACACAAAUCACAACAAUCAAUGUCACAGCUCAGCAAAAUACACCAAGCCCAAUGUGCAAUAAGACGUGCCUACACACAGACGAACAAAACAAUGCAACAGAAAAGAAAAGAAAAAAAACCCGGCCAAACAUGUGAAAUCACACUGGGGUUUGUCAGGUUUUUUCUUGCUGAGAGGUAGUGGUGUGCAAAGCAAACCAAAUUACACGAGACCUGCUCUGUCUCAGCCCAUACUGGUCAAUUAUUGUGUUAAAAUUGUGAUACCCAAUAAACCACCAUGUGAAUAAAAGGUUUGGCAACGCCAAUCCCCUGUCUGCCUUCUGUCUCUCCACAUAUGAUUUCUUAAUCCUUGAGAUGGAUUUGUUCCAGAUAAAAGAUGAGAUGCUAUUCCCCAGAUUCUGUGA